rnacentral:tRNA from 1 species
GUCUCAGUAGCGUAAUGGUUAACGCACAGCCCCGGUUAAGCUCAAAACGCGAGUUCGAAUCCUGCCUGAGAUG